rnacentral:rRNA from 1 species
ACCAGUCUCUUGAGAAGUUGAAAAUCUGGGUGUCUAUGCCAUUUUAUUAAACACUAGUUGCAUGUUUAUAGAAUGAUGAUUUGAUUAAAUAUAAAGUACAACUUUCAACAACGGAUCUCUUGGCUCUCGCAUCGAUGAAGAACGCAGCGAAAUGCGAUAAGUAAUGUGAAUUGCAGAAUUCAGUGAAUCAUCGAAUCUUUGAACGCACCUUGCGCUCCUUGGCAUUCCGAGGAGCAUGCCUGUUUGAGUGUCAUUAAA